rnacentral:lncRNA from 1 species
CCACGCCCGCCAUCUUCCGCUAGAGAAUUCCGGCUCCUCCCGCAAUGGAGAGGGUGCUCUGGAAGCUCUGGGGUUGGGGUCUCUUCGUCCCUGCAGGGAAGUUGGGGGUCCCAGAUGAUGGUCCUGUUUUCUUUGUAAUAAAGUAGGUGUUACAAAGUUUGGAGGAGGGCGCCUUUUAGGAAUCCCACCUAAAAGAACACCUCUUUGGACUAACCCUCUCACUGGUACUUCAAAGCAGAGGAAGUGUCACAGCUAUGCUUCCAGAGUGCUCUGUGCAUUUCCAUGAUCAACAAACGAUGAAUAAAUCUCUG